UACGAAGGGGGCGAGCGUUGUUCGGAAUUACUGGGCGUAAAGGGCGCGUAGGCGGCGACUCUAGUCAGAUGUGAAAGUCCUGGGCUUAACCUGGGGACUGCAUUUGAUACUGGGUUGCUUGAAUUCGGGAGAGGAUAGCGGAAUUCCCAGUGUAGAGGUGAAAUUCGUAGAUAUCAAGCGGAACACCGGUGGCGAAGGCGGCCUUCUGGACAGUGACUGACGCUGAGAUGCGAAAGCGUGGGGAGCAAACAGG
rnacentral:rRNA from 1 species